ACUUCUUGAUAAGGAGUAUCUUUCCUAAUAAAAUAGCUUAGCAAAUGUAAUUUAUCAAGAAGAUUAGCUGAAUUAUUUUGUGUAUUAUACCGCCAUUGAGAAUCCUGGAAUUCCCCUCCUUUCACUUUCAUUUUCAGAAGUUCCUGCAGACAGACGCAUUUUGCCGGAAAACGAAUCUGGCAUGCCAUCUCGAGAUUUUCACCAAAGAAAGACAACUUGAUGUGCUUUGAUUUGAGGGGUCACUCACUGCUGAACGAAAAUUAGGGACAUCGCUAUGAGACGAAACGUUAACAUUGUCGCCUAUGGGAAAACAAUUAGUGGACGGUACCCAUAUUAUGCACUGAGUGACUGGGAUUUUUUUUCCGAGAGGAGCACCGACAGCAGCCAGUGUUUUACAGAUAGCCAUAUCUAAACCAUUGUUCGACCUUAAUAUGGCUGACAAGGCACGGGAUUUCGCAUUUCUGCACCAGAUUUUAAACCAUGUGCGCGGAGUCCGACAGACUUGUACCACCAACUCGUUAUUUUGCCACCCCCACAGAGUUAAGCUCCACCUACAUGGGUCACCGCA